UGAUUAUUAGUGGAAAGGCAACACUGGCGUGAAAAAUAUUUUGCAUUGCUAUUAUUGAAGAUAGGCUUCAUUGCAUGGUCAAACUGGAAAGUGCUGUUUACUUGAUGAAGUUAGAUAUCUUCAUGGGUAAUUAUCGCCGUAAAAUAUAAUUUGUCUUGUAAAAUUUCAAUUUCCUGAAAUGGGUUGACUUUGUGGAUUGAAUUCUUUGAGUGGUUUGUGAAUGUAUAGGGGCUUUAGUCAUUUGGUGAGUGAGGAGAAGUUACAAAAAAAAAAAAAAAAAAAUCAGACUCCCAUCUCAAUAGCCAUCAUGGCAGAUCUUGAUAUAUUGAGGGGUGCUCCAACAAAUUUGGAACAAACCAGUCCCCAAAAAAAAAAACACAGAGAGAGAUUUCUGCAUUGCAAAUUAUCAACCAUUCAUUGCCUACUUAGAUCAGUCACAAAACUUCCAAGACGUCAAAACAAAUGCAGCAAGUGUUCCUUGAUGCCUCAUCUCACUAGCUUGUAUCUUGUGUCAUUUCUGUGUCCUCGGCCAUUAUAAUUUCCAUGUCUCUCAUAUCUCGCUUCAAUACAUUGCCAAGUCUUGCUAUGGCUUCUGUCUGCUGUUGUAAAACCUCCUGCAUAUCAGCAAGACUCUGAUCAUGUAUUUUGGUUGAUCCUGGAAGGUAAAUAGAACCACCAACUCCAAUUGCAUUUGCUUGAACACGAGAUACAGUGAGUAGGUUUUGAACCCUCCGAGAAAGUUCAGCUCCAGAUCCUUUCAGCUGUCUGGUUAUUGCAGCCAACUUCUCAGCCAAUUCAGCUUCCCCUUUCAUUAAGGGCAUUCGGUAACCCUUACCCUCCAAUGCCUCCAUUAUUCUCAUUAUCUUCAAGCACACAGCACACAUGAGGAUGUGUUAACAGGAACCAAAUGCACAAAUUGUUCACACAAGACAAACAGGUGUUGACAGCCCAGGCCCCCACAAUUGUGAUAAAAAGACAAUUGGCAAUAGCAUCACAAACAGAUUCUAAAUACUUUUAACCAUAGUGGACAGUGCACCAACCACAUAAAAGAUGAGAAGUAUCUUCUAAAGCCCCCCACAAUUCCAUAAAAAUUUCAAUUUGGACUUGAACUUUCAAUUGAGGCAAUUUAAACCUCAUAAUUUCAUUAUUGGUGCAAUCUUUAAUUUCUACAGAUUUGAAAUGAAACUCAUAAUAGGUACACAUAAAAUAUACAAGAUUCAUAUGCAUAAAUCAUAUAGGAUCUUUGAGAGAGAAAUUUCAGAAAACAACUUACAUCUUACACAAAAUAACAUGUGUUAUGUGCAUUGCUUGCUCCUAGGUCAGGUUAAGAAACCACCUAAUUUCUCUACAUAGCCCUUCCCUUUUAUGCUUGCUUUUCCAUUAAUAUUUUCCUGACUUGUAUGAUAAACAAGUUACUAUUAAAUGGAUAAAGUCUAAUGCUAUUUGAUGGACAAUCAACAUUGCUUCAAAAUAGAGUUUUUUGGAUUGAAAACUCAGGCUUGAAACUGAAAUGGUGGAUGGAAUUAAAAGGCUCAGAAUUCAAAACGCAUCUUUCAUUAUAGUAAAGAAUGGCAAAGGAUUCUGAAAACAUGAUUCAUCUAUUUCACAUCCAGCACAUGGAACACAUAACAAGCCCCACAGAAGACUAAAAUGUGGGAUGCAAUGGAUAAAGCCAUUCUCUUCAUUCAAAAUGGUUUUGCAUAAUAAGGGCAUACAACAUUCUCACCCUUAAAAGACGCCUUUGAAGACUCUGCUCUUUUUGCCUCAUUCUUUCAAUCCAGGGAAGAGUCUCAGCUUGAAAAUGCCUUUGAAGCAUCUUUACAUUGCUUUGGGUCAUUCGCAAUCGCUCAGUAUCAGAAACAAUAACUUCAUCUUGGAGCUUAAGACGAUGAGAAAGAUCUUUGAAACCUUGAACAAGCUGAGGCCACAGCCGUUCCCGUUCUGAACUCUCCAUACCCUCUAACUUUGCCACAGCCUCCGCCCACAUGAUCUAGCAAAGCAAACUAUUCUACAAACUUAGCGAAGAACACAAGCUCCAGACGAUAUCAUUUAAUCAUUUAAUAUCAAACAUAGUGAUAAAAAUAAAGAAAAAUGAAAUGAUAAACUCACAUCUGAGACACCAACAGGCUUCACUCUAUGCUGUGGAUCAGUUACACUAAACAACAAAUACUGCAAAAUUAACACAAAAUUUCAACAUCUAAAACCCCUAAUUCUUCACUGAGUUACUCUGGAAACACAUACAUAACAAAUUCCAAUUUCAAAAAAUAUCAACCGAUUAGAACUCAAGAAUACAAAAGAGCCUUCUUCCCCCUCGUCGGCAUUCUCAGCAACAAAUACCAAUGAAAUGAGAACAAAAGAGGAGAGAAAUGAAACGGACCUUAAACGCAUAUUUAGGGUUCCCUGGCUCCUCGUUGUAAGCAUCCACAAUCGCCUGAAUAUCACGAUCAGCUAGCGAGAAAGGAAGCGGAGCGACGGGGGCCAUCUGUGUAGUCAGUUGAGCAUUAGGGAACGGCGUUGCCUGAGUAGCGGCGAACGGAGUCCGAAAUCCUAAACCAGUAGACAGCUGCUGAAAAAGAGGAGUCUGUUGUUGCUGCUGCUGUUGCUGUUGCGUUUGAGACGAGAACGGUGUAGAGAAGAGAGAGGACCCGAAACCAGUGGCGAAAGAUGGCGUCGAUGGAGUUCCGAAGGCCGGAGUCGAAGACCAAGUACCGAAUGCCGGAGUUGAAGAGGGUGUGCCAAAGGCUGGGGCACCAAAUGCAGGCGUAGAGGAUGGAUUUCCAAAGGCCGAAGUUCCAAAGGCCGGAGUUGAAGCUUGAGCGCCGAACAUUUUUGCGAUUAGAGGGAACUGACCUAGCGGGGGUAGAGUGUGAACGCUUCUCUGCGUUUUUAAUAAAAUGACGCCAUGAAUUGUGGCUUUUGCGGUUUAGUAGCGUGUUUGCGGCUAUGAUGUUCGAUCGUUGGCCAGAUAGAGAGGGGAGGGAAUGUAUUUUCGGCGGCAGAGAUGGAGUAUUG
rnacentral:misc_RNA from 1 species